UGGGACUGGAAGAAGGACCUUCGAAAUUUGGCCUCAGAGAACACCAAUAGGCAGGUUGGGACAGGAAGAAGGACCUUCGAAAUUUGGCCUCAGAGAACAACAAUAGGUAGCUUGGCACUGGAAGAAGGACAUUCGAAAUUUGGCCUCAGAGAACACCAAUAGGAGGUACUCCUUCUUUCUUAGGCAGCUUGGGACUGGAAGAAGGACACUCGAAAUUUGGCCUCAGAGAACACAAAUAGGCAGCUUGGGACUGGAAGAAGGACCUUCGAAAUUUGGCCUCAGAGAACACCAAUAGGCAGCUUGGGACUGGAAGAAGGACCUUCGAAAUUUGGCCUCAGAGAACACCAAUAGGU